rnacentral:rRNA from 1 species
GAUGAACGCUGGCGGCGUGCCUAAUACAUGCAAGUCGAGCGAACGGACGAGAAGCUUGCUUUUCUGAUGUUAGCGGCGGACGGGUGAGUAACACGUGGAUAACCUACCUAUAAGACUGGGAUAACUUCGGGAAACCGGAGCUAAUACCGGAUAAUAUUUUGAACUGCAUGGUUCAAAAGUGAAAGACGGUCUUGCUGUCACUUAUAGAUGGAUCCGCGCUGCAUUAGCUAGUUGGUAAGGUAACGGCUUACCAAGGCAACGAUGCAUAGCCGACCUGAGAGGGUGAUCGGCCACACUGGAACUGAGACACGGUCCAGACUCCUACGGGAGGCAGCAGUAGGGAAUCUUCCGCAAUGGGCGAAAGCCUGACGGAGCAACGCCGCGUGAGUGAUGAAGGUCUUCGGAUCGUAAAACUCUGUUAUUAGGGAAGAACAUAUGUGUAAGUAACUGUGCACAUCUUGACGGUACCUAAUCAGAAAGCCACGGCUAACUACGUG